rnacentral:misc_RNA from 1 species
GAGUGCAAGGAACGGCAGGCUGUGUGCUGCUGCUUGUGUGCAGCUUCCGUCUGGUCGGAGUUCCCAUACAAUAGAGAUCCAAACUAUUAAUGUUAUCUUAAUGCGCUAGCCGUCAAGCUAUGUGCUUCACUUUGAGAGCGGUAGCUGCGUAGGCUCUUGCAUCUCGCUUUACAGGUGAGACGUCUACAAACUCAUGGGCGUCCACAAUGCGAACGAAGGAAGGGCGUUCCUUGAGUCACUGCUUCACCGUGAACUUCUAGUGCUGCUCCAGGACGAGCGCCAGCGCGUGAGAGGAAGGCUUUACUGCGUCGACGGUCUCAAGAAUCUCGUCUUGUACGAUGCGGUGGAAGAGGUAUGGUGUCCUACGCCCCAAACUUGGCAGGAACGACGCUUCUCGCUCACUGUAGUGCCGGCUCAUAGCGUUAUGAGAGUUUUUGUGGCGGAGCCCUCGAAAAAUUCAAGGAGCGAAACAACAAGUUCCGAGCGCCCUCGACAGUGAAAGAGCAACCCGACAACUUUGCGUGCUCUUUGUAACACCAAAGCAGGAGCAUAAGAAAGUUCAGGAAGCAGAAGAUUGCAACGAAGUAAGGAAGCAAGUACGGAUAACGUUCCCGAAAAGGAUUCCCGUCAACAGCGAGAAGUAUUCCAAGAGGAAGGGCGAGAAGCAUCCAGGCUACAGAAGGACGGCGACCUCUUCCUAAACACGUCCAAAUUAUCAGCGCUACUAGCGCCAUCGCUGAGCCUUCAUGCAAAAACAGAGGCAGGAGAGAGAAUACUGCCGUGGAAGUGGCCCAAAUGAUGAUAUCAGGAUACUCAUGGGCACAUAACGAUAGCGGCAAAAGUGGUAGGAGAAUAUGCUUCUCAUGAACAUGGUACGAGAAAAGAUAGAACGCAAGCGAGCACCCUGUGAGUCGAAUACAUAGCCGAAGACGAUCGCUUUCCGUAAUACAACGACCCGGUGAGCCCAUAAGAAACGGGAUAACUGCCACUAGGGUCAUGAGCCCGCAGGCUGGGGGCAGAAACCUGCUCCGUAGGAGCCCAGUUCGACGCAGCAGCGGCGAUAUUGUACACCAAAACGUUGCUACCUUGUCCUCGAAAACGCCUCGAUGAAAUGGGAACACCCUCCUUAACAAAGCGUCCAACUUGAACGGGUACAGGAUGAAAAGAGCAACAAGAACGGAAAAAAGGACAUCGUUGUCUGGGAACGCUCGCCUCCAUGCCUGUCGCAGCGCGUCCAUUGCAGGGACGGGCAGGAAGUAGAUGGAUGUCUGCUUGAAGAGCACCGCUGUCGCUAUCAUAGUGAGCUUGAUUGUGCGAUAUCGCGCGAUCAUCCAUAGGAUGAAACCUAGCUGGAUACAUGUGUAGUGAAAGUGGGCAUGAUCGAUCAAAAUCCAGCAGGGCUGAAACAGGGUAAGGGACGCAAAGCGGUUGAGAUCGCCACCAGACGCGAAAUAUGCUGCUGGGAAAAAGAACAGCAAGUCUACAAGCAGCACAGUCCCCCGGAAGAAAGCACGACUCGACUCGCUCUCGUAACCGUAGGCGUCGGCUUGCACCGCGCCCUCAAAAUCUAAAAGUCUUGCGCAAAUGCCAA